rnacentral:rRNA from 1 species
AACCAGACUCCUACGGGAGGCAGCAGUGGGGAAUAUUGCACAAUGGGGGGAACCCUGAUGCAGCGACGUCGCGUGAGUGAAGAAGUAUUUCGGUAUGUAAAGCUCUAUCAGCAGGGAAGAAAAUGACGGUACCUGACUAAGAAGCCCCGGCUAACUACGCGCCAGCAGCCGCGGUAAUACGUAGGGGGCAAGCGUUAUCCGGAUUUACUGGGUGUAAAGGGAGCGUAGACGGUAGAGCAAGUCUGAAGUGAAAGCCCGCGGCUCAACUGCGGGACUGCAUUGGAAACUGCGAGGCUGGAGUGUCGGAGAGGCAGGCGGAAUUCCUAGUGUAGCGGUGAAAUGCGUAGAUAUUAGGAGGAACACCAGUGGCGAAGGCGGCCUGCUGGACGAUGACUGACGCUGAGGCUCGAAAGCGUGGGGAGCAAACAGGAUUAGAUACCCGCGUA